rnacentral:rRNA from 1 species
GUGGGGAAUAUUGGACAAUGGGCGCAAGCCUGAUCCAGCCAUGCCGCGUGUGUGAAGAAGGCCUUCGGGUUGUAAAGCACUUUUGUUGGGAAAGAAAUCCUGUCGGCUAAUACCCGGCGGGGAUGACGGUACCCAAAGAAUAAGCACCGGCUAACUUCGUGCCAGCAGCCGCGGUAAUACGAAGGGUGCAAGCGUUACUCGGAAUUACUGGGCGUAAAGCGUGCGUAGGUGGUUCGUUAAGUCAGAUGUGAAAGCCCCGGGCUCAACCUGGGAAUUGCAUUUGAGACUGGCGGACUAGAGUGCGGUAGAGGAGAGUGGAAUUCCCGGUGUAGCAGUGAAAUGCGUAGAGAUCGGGAGGAACAUCAGUUGCGAAGGCGGCUCUCUGGACCAGCACUGACACUGAGGCACGAAAGCGUGGGGAGCAAACAGGAUUAGAAACCCGUGUAGUCC